UUCAAUUUAAAAUGCAAUUUGCGACAGAAUUUUAAGAACGUACUAGUACUAAGGCGGGAUCCUUUCAUUUUCCCCAAUCCAAAACCUUUGCCCCCUUUUUCCUUCCCGCCAAACCCUUUUCUAAACACACCUUGCUCGUCCAGAAAUUUCCUCUCUGUUUUCUCUCUCUAAAGGUGUGCUUUUUGUUUUUGAAGUCUGUGAUUUCUAAGAGAUAGGGUUCUUGGGAAGACAGCACAAACUAGCGGAAGGGUCUAAUUAUGGAGAAAAUAGCCGAAAUUAUCACUAGAAUGACCAUUCUUCAUCAUCUGCUUCCGAUUCUAGGGUUGAGAAGAAAACAAAUUCAUCGUAGCCGUUAUUCAAGUUUAGGAAUAGUUGGCUUUUCGAGAGCAGCCUAUUCAAAAGUUCUUCGGUAGCGGUAAAUGUGGCCCAUUAGUUGGUGCUACAAAUGAUUCUUCCAGAUUGUGUUCUUUACGAGACCAGUGCUGGGAAACAGGUCCGUAGAGCUGUAUUUAUUUAUCUGGAGCCUACCUUUGUGGAUAAAGUGAGGACUAGGGCUUAAAAGAAACUUUUCCAUCCUAAACGAUAGAUUUCUCGCAAUGAGAUGCUACUAACAAUGUAGCCCGGGGGCAUUAUACAGUGAUCCAUUAGUUGCUGCCAGACAACUGAGUUUUGUGAUGAUAUACGAGGAAAUAAAUAUGUAAUUAAGUUCUUAUUCAUGUGAAUAUCUAAUAACUUCAGUAUAAUAUGUAAGAAGAAUUUCUAGCUUGUCUCGUUUUUAUGUAGCUAAAAUUUUGCUUUUCUUUGUAACUAAAUUUGAGCAUUUUGGACAUGUUUGUCUUUCUUUGAUAGGCAUAUUAUCAGAGAAAUGCUAGUGGUUUUUAAGUUUCUUAUAAAAUAUUUUUAU